GACGUGAGUAAACCAACAAAAAAAAACACCCUUGCUCCUUUUCUUUUCUCCUUUGUUUCUGCGCCAGGUAACACACACACAAACACUUCCAAAUUGUUCAUCUUUUCCUAAUGCAAUCUGUUUCAAAGGGGAAUAAAAAGGAGAUUUCAUUAAAAUGUUCUAAUAAUAAUCAUUUUGCAAGAGUCAAUCAAAGCAUGACGAUCUUCAUCAUAUUUUUCUAUUUUAUCUCAAGAACACAUCAAUUGGUUUUGGAUAGACAUGGAGACUAGAUUACUCAUUCUCAAGUCUGCUCGCCCUUUUAGCUCUAUGAUUGAUAAUGUGAGUUUGUGGCACCCUUUUUCCUUUUUACUUUGGGCCUGAAAAGCAUGUACUACUGUAUACACGACUACUUUAUAAAUGAUUUGUCUUUGUCUAUGCCAUGAGAUUUGGCUACUUAAAUCAUUUGCCUUAUGUUUGCCAUGUUGACGGCUACCUGAAAAUGUGUAUACAUUUCUUCUGAAAUAUUGAACUAAAUGACUUUGUCUUGCCA